rnacentral:misc_RNA from 1 species
AGCCUGAUGGAAAUAAAGGUUUACUUGAGAAAGUCAUUAAGUCUUUUAAUUUGCAUGUGCCACCUCGUGAACUUCAGAAUAAGGAUCCAAAGAUUGUGCUUCAAGCUGUUGUGAGCCGCUGGCUUCCCUUGUCUGAUGCAAUUUUGUCAAUGGUUGUGAAGUGCAUACCAGAUCCAAUUGCUGCCCAGUCUUUUCGAAUUUCACGUUUGCUUCCCAAGAGAGAGGUUUUGUAUGAUGCAGUUGACUCAAGUAUUAUUGCAGAGGCAGAUCUUGUAAGAAAGUCAGUUGAGAUUUGUGAUUCCAGCCCUGAAGCACCUUCUGUUGCCUUUGUAUCCAAAAUGUUUGCAGUACCAACAAAGAUGCUACCUCAAAGGGGACCAAAUGGAGAGAUUUUGAAUAAUUACAGUGAUGAAAAUGGAAGCAGUGAGUCAGAUGAGUGCUUCCUUGCAUUUGCAAGAAUUUUUAGUGGGGUUCUUUAUUCACAACAAAGAGUCUUUGUGCUUUCAGCAUUAUAUGACCCGUUGAGGGGAGAGUCAAUGCAGAAGCAUGUGCAGGAUGCUGAGUUGCACUCAUUGUAUCUCAUGAUGGGUCAAGGCUUGAAACCAGUAGCCUCUGCAAAAGCAGGGGAUGUUGUGGCAAUCCGAGGCCUCGGCCAACAUAUUUUAAAAAGUGCAACUCUUUCAUCCACAAGAAACUGUUGGCCUUUCUCUAGCAUGGCAUUCCAGGUUUCCCCAACUUUAAGAGUUGCAAUUGAGCCAUCUGAUCCAGCAGAUAUGACUGCCCUGAUGAAGGGUCUGAGGCUUCUGAACCGGGCAGAUCCAUUUGUUGAAGUAACUGUUUCUUCUAGAGGGGAGCAUGUGCUUGCUGCUGCUGGAGAAGUUCACCUAGAAAGGUGCAUCAAGGAUUUGAAGGAGAGAUUUGCAAAGGUGAGCCUGGAAGUCUCUCCACCUCUUGUGUCCUAUAAGGAGACCAUCGAGGGGCACACUUCCAAUGCUUUAGAUAAUCUGAAAUCACUGAGAAGGGGCUCAGAUUAUGUGGAGAAGACAACACCAAAUGGAAGGUGUGAUGUUCGUGUGCAAGUCAUGAGACUUCCACCUGCACUAACCAAGGUGCUGGAUGAAAGUGCCGAUAUUCUUGGAGAUAUCAUUGGCGGGAAGCUGGGGCAGACAAAUAGAGAUGUGCAAAAGCAGGGUUCAAGCAUUUUACAAGAUGAGAGUUCAGUUGAAGGAAUCAAAAAACACAUAAUGGAUGCUGUCGAAAGU